rnacentral:rRNA from 1 species
UACGUAGGGUGCAAGCGUUAAUCGGAAUUACUGGGCGUAAAGCGUGCGCAGGCGGUUUUGUAAGUCUGACGUGAAAUCCCCGGGCUCAACCUGGGAAUUGCGUUGGAGACUGCAAGGCUAGAGUUUGGCAGAGGGGGGUAGAAUUCCACGUGUAGCAGUGAAAUGCGUAGAUAUGUGGAGGAACACCGAUGGCGAAGGCAGCCCCCCUGGGUCAAGACUGACGCUCAUGCACGAAAGCGUGGGGGAGCAAACAGG